rnacentral:rRNA from 1 species
UACGGGGGGUGCGAGCGUUGUCCGGAAUCACUGGGCGUAAAGGGCGCGUAGGUGGUUUGAUAAGGGUGUGGUGAAAGUCCGGGGCUCAACCCCGGAUCUGCCGUGCCGACUGUCAAACUCGAGGGCUGUAGAGGCAGACGGAAUUCCGGGUGUAGCGGUGGAAUGCGUAGAGAUCCGGAGGAACACCGAUGGCGAAGGCAGGUCUCUGGGCAUUAACUGACGCUGAGGAGCGAAAGCAUGGGGAGCGAACAGG